rnacentral:rRNA from 1 species
UACGAGAGGCCCAACCGUUAUUCGGAAUUACUGGGCUUAAAGAGUUCGUAGGCGGUAUGAAAAGUAGGGUGUGAAGGCCCUCGGCUCAACCGAGGAAUUGCGCUCUAAACUGUCGUACUCGAGGAACCUAGAGGUGAGCAGAACUGAUGGUGGAGCGGUGAAAUGCGUUGAUAUCAUCAGGAAUACCGGAGGCGAAGGCGGCUCACUGGGGGUUUUCUGACGCUGAGGAACGAAAGCCAGGGGAGCGAACGGG